AUUAAAACGCUGGCGGCAUGCCUUUACACAUGCAAGUCGAACGGCAGCACGGGGGGCAACCCCUGGUGGCGAGUGGCGGACGGGUGAGUAAAGCAUCGGAACGUAUCCUGGAGUGGGGGGAUAAUGUAGCGAAAGUUACGCUAAUACCGCAUAUUCUGUGAGCAGGAAAGCAGGGGAUCGCAAGACCUUGCGCUCUGGGAGCGGCCGAUGUCGGAUUAGCUAGUUGGUGGGGUAAAGGCCUACCAAGGCGACGAUCCGUAGCGGGUCUGAGAGGAUGAUCCGCACACUGGGACUGAGACACGGCCCAGACUCCUACGGGAGGCAGCAGUGGGGAAUUUUGGACAAUGGGCGGAAGCCUGAUCCAGCCAUGCCGCGUGAGUGAAGAAGGCCU
rnacentral:rRNA from 1 species